UACGUAGGGGGCGAGCGUUGUCCGAAGUUACUGGGCGUAAAGCGUGCGUAGGUGGUUUGUUAAGUCUGUUGUGAAAGCCCCGGGCUCAACCUGGGAAUGGCAAUGGAUACUGGCAGGCUAGAGUGCGGUAGAGGGUAGUGGAAUUCCCGGUGUAGCGGUGAAAUGCGUAGAGAUCGGGAGGAACACCAGUGGCGAAGGCGGGUCUCUGGGCCGUAACUGACGCUGAGGAGCGAAAGCACGGGGAGCGAACAGG
rnacentral:rRNA from 1 species